rnacentral:rRNA from 1 species
UCCGUAGGCGGGUUUAUAAGUCAGUGGUGAAAGUCUGUCGCUUAACGAUAGAAUUGCCAUUGAUACUGUAGAUCUUGAAUUAUUAUGAAGUGGUUGGAAUGAGUAGUGUAGCGGUGAAAUGCAUAGAUAUUACUCAGAACACCUAUUGCGAAGGCAGAUCACUAAUAAUAUAUUGACGCUGAUGGACGAAAGCGUAGGUAGCGAACA